rfam:Schistosoma rodhaini strain Burundi genome assembly, scaffold: SROB_scaffold0009458
AUCCAUCCGACGAGUCCCAAGUGGGGCGAAACGCGCGUCCCGGAU